rnacentral:rRNA from 1 species
GACGUAGGGUGCGAGCGUUGUCCGGAUUUAUUGGGCGUAAAGAGCUCGUAGGCGGCUCGUCGCGUCGACCGUGAAAACCAGCAGCUUAACUGCUGGCUUGCGGUUGAUACGGGCGGGCUAGAGUUCGGUAGGGGAGACUGGAAUUCCUGGUGUAGCGGUGAAAUGCGCAGAUAUCGAGAGGAACACCUGCGGCGAAGGCGGGUUGCUGGGCUGACACUGACGCUGAGGCGCGAAAGCCAGGGGAGCGAACGGG